rnacentral:rRNA from 1 species
AUGAACGCUGGCGGCGUGUCUAAUCCAUGCAAGUCGAGCGAACAGACGAGGAGCUUGCUCCUCUGACGUUAGCGGCGGACGGGUGAGUAACACGUGGAUAACCUACCUAUAAGACUGGGAUAACUUCGGGAAACCGGAGCUAAUACCGGAUAAUAUAUUGAACCGCAUGGUUCAAUAGUGAAAGACGGUUUUGCUGUCACUUAUAGAUGGAUCCGCGCCGCAUUAGCUAGUUGGUAAGGUAACGGCUUACCAAGGCAACGAUGCGUAGCCGACCUGAGAGGGUGAUCGGCCACACUGGAACUGAGACACGGUCCAGACUCCUACGGGAGGCAGCAGUAGGGAAUCUUCCGCAAUGGGCGAAAGCCUGACGGAGCAACGCCGCGUGAGUGAUGAAGGUCUUCGGAUCGUAAAACUCUGUUAUUAGGGAAGAACAAAUGUGUAAGUAACUAUGCACGUCUUGACGGUACCUAAUCAGAAAGCCACGGCUAACUACGUG